GAUGAACGCUGGCGGCGUGCUUAACACAUGCAAGUCGAACGGAAAGGCCCAAGCUUGCUUGGGUACUCGAGUGGCGAACGGGUGAGUAACACGUGGGUGAUCUGCCCUGCACUUCGGGAUAAGCCUGGGAAACUGGGUCUAAUACCGGAUAGGACGAUGGUUUGGAUGCCAUUGUGGAAAGUUUUUUCGGUGUGGGAUGAGCUCGCGGCCUAUCAGCUUGUUGGUGGGGUAAUGGCCUACCAAGGCGUCGACGGGUAGCCGGCCUGAGAGGGUGUACGGCCACAUUGGGACUGAGAGACGGCCCAGACUCCUACGGGAGGCAGCAGUGGGGAAUAUUGCACAAUGGGCGCAAGCCUGAUGCAGCGACGCCGCGUGGGGGAUGACGGCCUUCGGGUUGUAAACUCCUUUCGCUAGGGACGAAGCGUCUUUGUGACGGUACCUGGAGAAGAAGCACCGGCUAACUACGUG
rnacentral:rRNA from 1 species